rnacentral:rRNA from 1 species
CGCAAGCCUGAGUGCAGCCAUGCCGCGUGAUGAAGAAGGCCUUCGGGUUGUAAAGUACGUUUCAGCAGUGAGGAAGGUGGGUAUGUUAAUAGCAUAUCAUUUGACGUUAGCUGCAGAAGAAGCACCGGCUAACUCCGUGCCAGCAGCCGCGGUAAUACGGAGGGUGCGAGCGUUAAUCGGAAUUACUGGGCGUAAAGCGCAUGCAGGUGGUUUGUUAAGUCAGAUGUGAAAGCCCGGGGCUCAACCUCGGAAUUGCAUUUGAAACUGGCAAACUAGAGUACUGUAGAGGGGGUAGAAUUUCAGGUGUAGCGGUGAAAUGCGUAGAGAUCUGAAGGAAUACCGGUGGCGAAGGCGGCCCCCUGGACAGAUACUGACACUCAGAUGCGAAAGCGUGGGGAGCAAACAGGAUUAGAUACCCUGGUAG